AGCGCCACAGCCGGGGCCCGAGCACGGAAUCACCCCAAACUGUGUCCUCUUCAUUUCAACUGUAUUGAAUUUUAAUUUUGGUAUUAUUGAUACCAUUUCAAGGUGAUCUCACCUGUGUAUGGAGUGAGAUGGUUCACUGCAGGGAGCACCUGAGAGGCCUUCAAAGGAGUUGCAGGCUGGAGAAGAGCAGCUCAGAGCUCUCUGCCUUGCUCCCAACACCCCAACAGCCACAGAGGGAAAACGCUCCUGACACGGCGUUUCCUUUGCUGCGUGCUCGGCCUCUGUGUGAUGGGCAGGAAUAGCAGGAGGUGACUCUGGUGAUUUCAAGCUUUAAUACCCAGCUCUGUGGGGGCAGCUUCCAACAGCUCCUCUUCAGGUUGGGUUUGUCUGUUCUGAGCUUGGCCUGAGCCUUUCUUCAGCUGAGUACGCUGGCCUUUCCUCCCACAGAUCCAACUGCAGGCCCCACUGUAGGCUUUUGUUCUCAGGGUGCAGCACUGCAGGAGUUAAUAACAAGAUGCUUUCCUGUCUGUUGAUGCCUGAUGAACUGGCUAUGGAAGGGCAGGGCCUAUUCUACAAGGCAAGACCCUCUGCAAAUAGGAUCAUCCAUUUUUGUGCCAUUUUUUACUUUCACACUUUUUCUAUCCUAUCUGAAUUCAAAGAAAAUCUCUGCAGGUAUAAAAAAAAAAUCUGAGGCACUGUUAUAGAUAUUGAAACUAACUGAUUGCUACAAACUGCUUAAAAAUAUCUUCAACAUUUAAAUUAAAGCUUUACUUUAAUAGAGAGACCUUCCAAACUAGGCCCACAAGGGCUUCAAGGCAGGCCUGAGAAACUGUGGGUAAUUACAAGUCCUCUGUAACAGCAGCUGCCUUAAGAUUCCCCUCGUGCUUGGCCAAGGCUUCAGAGAGGCUCUCAGGUCCCACAGGCAGGAGGACACGAAAGCCUUGGGCAGCAAGGCCUGGCAGGGCAGGAUGGCUGCCCUC